rnacentral:rRNA from 1 species
GGCUCUUUGGUGUAUAUUAUAUAAAGAGUCGGACCUGCCCAGUGACGUAAUGUUAAACGGCCGCGGUACCCUAACCGUGCAAAGGUAGCAUAAUCAUUUGCCUCUUAAUUAGAGGCUAGUAUGAAUGGUUUGACGAGAGCCUAACUGUCUCUUAUUAAAAUAUUUAAAAAUUAACUUUUAGGUGAAGAGGCCUAAAUUUAACUAAGGGACAAGAAGACCCUAUUGAGCUUUAGUGAAACUGUCGAUAAAUUAGGUAAAUAUUAAGAUAUCUAUAGAUAUUGUACUUGUAUAUAACGAUUAUUCAGUUAAUCUUUAGUUGGGGCGACUAAGGAACUAAUGUAGCUUCCUUUAUAUGAAUUAGUGAAGUGUAGAAUUAAAAAUACAUACAUGCAAGUUAGUGAGUGAUCCGGCAAUAUGUCGAUUAAAGGAAAAAGUUACCAUAGGGAUAACAGCGUAAUUCUUCUGGAGAGAUCUAAUCGAAGGAAGAGUUUGCGACCUCGAUGUUGGACUAAGAUAUCCUAAGGGCGCAGAAGCUCUUAAUGGUUGGUC